rnacentral:rRNA from 1 species
AUACGGAGGGUGCAAGCGUUAAUCGGAAUUACUGGGCGUAAAGAGUACGUAGGUGGUUUGUUAAGUCAGAUGUGAAAGCCCCGGGCUCAACCUGGGAACUGCAUUUGAAACUGGCAAACUAGAGUAUGGUAGAGGGGGGUAGAAUUUCUAGUGUAGCGGUGAAAUGCGUAGAUAUUAGAAGGAAUACCAGUGGCGAAGGCGGCCCCCUGGACCAAUACUGACACUGAGGUACGAAAGCGUGGGUAGCGAACAGGAUUAGAAACCCUUGUAGUCC